rnacentral:rRNA from 1 species
ACUGCUCAGUAACACGUGGCUAAUCUGCCCUUGGGACCGGAAUACCCCCGGGAAACUGGGGCUAAUUCUCGAUAGGUGAAGAACUCUGGAAUGAGUCUUUGCCAAAAAGACGUUUACGUUAUGCUCGUAGGCGUCGCCCAAGGAUGAGGCCGCGACCGAUCAGGUUGUUGGUGAGGUAAUGGCUCACCAAGCCUUUUACCGGUGCGGGCCGUGAGAGCGGGAGCCCGGAGAUGGGCACUGAGACAAGGGCCCAGGCCCUACGGGGCGCAGCAGUCGCGAAAACUUUGCAAUACACGAAAGUGUGACAGGGCUAUCCCGAGUGCCAUCCGCUGAGGAAGGCUUUUACCCAGUCUAGAAAGCUGGGGGAAUAAGGAGAGGGCAAGUCUGGUGUCAGCCGCCGCGGUAAUACCAACUCUCCGAGUGGUGUGGAUGUUUAUUGGGCCUAAAGCAUCCGUAGCUGGCUAAGUUAGUCCCUUGUUAAAUCCACCGAAUUAAUCGUUGGAUUGCGGGGGAUACUGCUUGGCUAGGGGACGAGAGAGGCAGACGGUAUUUCCGGGGUAGGGGUGAAAUCCUAUAAUCCCGGGAAGACCACCAGUGGCGAAGGCUGUCUGCUAGAACGCGCCCGACGGUGAGGGAUGAAAGCUGGGGGAGCGAACCGGAUUAGAUACCCGGGUAGUCCCAGCUGUAAACGAUGCARGCUAGGUGUUUGGACGGCCACGUGCCGUUCUAGUGCCGCAGGGAAGCUGUUAAGCCUGCCGCCUGGGGGAGUACGAUCGCAAGAUUGAAACUUAAAGGAAUUGGCGGGGGAG